ACUAAAAAUCUAGCCCCCCCUCCCCUAUAUGUAACCCCAAAUAUUCACCGUAUAAACUAAAACAUUUAUGCAUUUAGUAAAGGCGAUUAAAAAAUUUUUUAGAGCUAUAACAAAAGUACCGCAAGGAAAAGAUGAAAUAAUAAUGAAAUAUAUUUAAGUAUUAAAAAGUAGAGAUUUAACCUCGUACCUUUUGCAUCAUGGUUUAACUAGUCUAAUCAAGCAAAAAGAAUUACAGUUUGACUCCCCGAAACUAAACGAGCUACUUCGAAGCAGCUUAAUGAGCUAACCCAUCUCUGUUGCAAAAGAGUGGGGUGACUUCCAAGUAGCGGUGACAGACCUAACGAGUUUAGUGAUAGCUGGUUACUUAAGAAAAGGAUUUUAGUCCUGCUUAAAGCAUUCCAAUUACCUAUAAAUAUCUAUAAUGCUUUAAAGUUACUCAAACAAGGCACAGCUUGUUUGAAACAAGGAUACAACCUGAACUAAAGGGUACUAAAAUAUAAAUGUAAACAAGUGGGCCUAAAAGCAGCCACCUUUAAAACAGCGUCAAAGCUUACUUAUAAAAACCUCAUCAAUACCAUACAAUACCUUUAACCCUUUACCCCUACUAAGUUAAUUUAUACAGAUAUAAAUGAUAUUAUGUUAAAACUAGUAAUAAGAAGCAGCCCUUCUCUUAAAUGUAAGUGUAAAUCAGAAAGGACAAACCACUGAUAAUUAUCAUCCAUGAGUAUAAAACAGCAACUCUUCUAGAAAACCCUGCUUUAUUAGAUGUUAACCUAACACUAGACCAUUUCAAGAAAGAUUAAAAGAAUAAGAAGGAACUCGGCAAACAUUAACCCCGCCUGUUUACCAAAAACAUCGCCUCUUGCCCAAAAAUAAGAGGUCCAGCCUGCCCAGUGAUAUAUUUCAACGGCCGCGGUAUCCUAACCGUGCGAAGGUAGCAUAAUCACUUGUUCUUUAAAUGAGGACUCGUAUCAACGGCAUCACGAGGGUUAUACUGUCUCCUUUCUCUAAUCAAUGAAACUAAUCUCCCCGUGAAGAAGCGGGGAUACUCAUAUAAGACGAGAAGACCCUAUGGAGCUUUAAACUAUUCAGCACCAGCUUAUAUACUUACAUGCCCCAGGGUACUAACAUCAAUUUUAGCUUCAUGACUAUUAGUUUUUGGUUGGGGUGACCGCGGAGCACAAACAAACCUCCAUGCUGGAAGGAUAAUUCCUGAACAACAAGCUACAACUUUAAGUACUAAUAAAUUAACACUAAUUGACCCAAUAUUUUGAUCAACGAACCAAGUUACCCUAGGGAUAACAGCGCAAUCCACUUCAAGAGCUCAUAUCGACAAGUGGGUUUACGACCUCGAUGUUGGAUCAGGGUAUCCCAGUGGUGCAGCCGCUACUAAAGGUUCGUUUGUUCAACGAUUAAAACCCU
rnacentral:rRNA from 1 species